ACCAGAAUGGUGUAGUGGUUUGAGUGUUGGACUAGGGUGCUGAGGACCAGGGUUCAAAUCCCUGCUUGGCCA